rnacentral:rRNA from 1 species
CGAAUAUAAGUGAUGGCGACCGGCGCACGGGUGAGUAACACGUAUCCACCUGCCGAUAACUCGGGGAUAGCCUUUCGAAAGAAAGAUUAAUACCCGAUGGUAUUAAUAAAACCGCAUGGUUUAAUUAUUAAAGAAUUUCGGUUAUCGAUGGGGAUGCGUUCCAUUAGGCAGUUGGUGAGGUAACGGCUCACCAAACCUUCGAUGGAUAGGGGUUCUGAGAGGAAGGUCCCCCACAUUGGAACUGAGACACGGUCCAA